rnacentral:rRNA from 1 species
GAUGAACGCUGGCGGCGUGCCUAAUACAUGCAAGUCGAGCGAACAGACGAGGAGCUUGCUCCUCUGACGUUAGCGGCGGACGGGUGAGUAACACGUGGAUAACCUACCUAUAAGACUGGGAUAACUUCGGGAAACCGGAGCUAAUACCGGAUAAUAUAUUGAACCGCAUGGUUCAAUAGUGAAAGACGGUUUUGCUGUCACUUAUAGAUGGAUCCGCGCCGCAUUAGCUAGUUGGUAAGGUAACGGCUUACCAAGGCGACGAUGCGUAGCCGACCUGAGAGGGGGAUCGGCCACACUGGAACUGAGAAACGGUCCAGACUCCUACGGGAGGCAGCAGUAGGGAAUCUUCAGCAAUGGGCGAAAGCCUGACGGAGCAACGCCGCGUGAGUGAUGAAGGUCUUCGGAUCGUAAAACUCUGUUAUUAGGGAAGAACAAAUGUGUAAGUAACUAUGCACGUCUUGACGGUACCUAAUCAGAAAGCCACGGCUAACUACGUG